rnacentral:rRNA from 1 species
GACAGAGGGUGCAAACGUUGCUCGGAAUUACUGGGCGUAAAGCGCGUGUAGGCGGUUCCGCAAGUCAGGUGUGAAAGCCCAGGGCCCAACCCUGGAAGUGCACUUGAUACUACGGAGCUUGAGUACUGAAGAGGAGAGCGGAAUUCCCGGUGUAGAGGUGAAAUUCGUAGAUAUCGGGAGGAACACCAGUGGCGAAGGCGGCUCUCUGGGCAGAUACUGACGCUGAGGAGCGAAAGCGUGGGGAGCGAACAGG